rnacentral:rRNA from 1 species
CAAAGGUAGCAUAAUCACUUGUCCUUUAAAUAAGGAUUAGUAUGAAUGGCCACAUGAAGAUUUUCCUGUCUCUUGUAGAAAAUCUAUGAAACUGAUCUUUCAGUACAAAAGCUGACAUAAUUACACAAGACGAAAAGACCCUGUGGAACUUUAAACAAUAGCCAAAUAACAUGACUUCACUUGCUUUUAGUUGGGGCAACUAUGGAAAUAAACUAAACUUCCACAACAAUACACAGGUGGACACACCAAUACCCCCCUUCCCCGAUCCAGUACUUACUGAAAAAGAACCAAGCUACCCCAGGGAUAACAGCGCUAUCCCCUCUUAGAGCCCCCAUCGAUGAGGGGGUUUACGACCUCGAUGUUGGAUCACGGCCCCCAAACAGUGCAACAGCUGUUAAAGGUUUGUUUGUUCAACAAUUAAUGC